GGUUCCCCUAUGAUCACCGAUGUUAAGCAACGUCGAAACUAGUCAGUACCUAGAUGGGUGAUCUCUUGGGAAUACCAGGUGCUGUAAG